CAGCAGCCGCGGUAAUACGGAGGGUGCAAGCGUUAAUCGGAAUUACUGGGCGUAAAGCGCACGCAGGCGGUCUGACAAGUCAGAUGUGAAAUCCCCGGGCUUAACCUGGGAACUGCAUUUGAAACUGUCAGGCUGGAGUCUUGUAGAGGGGGGUAGAAUUCCAGGUGUAGCGGUGAAAUGCGUAGAGAUCUGGAGGAAUACCGGUGGCGAAGGCGGCCCCCUGGACAAAGACUGACGCUCAGGUGCGAAAGCGUGGGGAGCAAACAGGAUUAGAUACCCGAGUAGUCCCUGUCUCUUAUAC
rnacentral:rRNA from 1 species